rnacentral:lncRNA from 1 species
UGUGUUGUAUCUAUUACAAUUAAAACCAAUGGAAUUGAAAGCAAUAAAUGAGGUUUGUUGAAAGUUCUGAUCCUAUAGACGUUGAUAUAUCACAGUUAAUACGAUCUAUAACUAUAACCUGCUUCACGGCUCAGCCUUAUUACUUUUCUCUCCCUCUCUUAAAGCCAUUGGCAUUCCUUUUGCCCCUCUUGCCCACUCCCUAAUCCCUAUCACUUUUCAAGUAUAUAAUCCGUUGGGACUUUCUUGUUCUCUUCUGGGUUUUAUUUCUUCUUGCAAAAUUUCCUUUAUAUAUAAAAAUAUAAAGCAUCUGGUGCAAUGAAAUUCUCAGUGAUGGUAAUAUCAGUAUUCGUUUGCUUUCUAGUUUUUCAAAAUACGGGUUCUUUUGCUUUACGAAAGACAGCUUUCUUACUUUCCAUUGAUGAUGCUGAUCAGAACAAUAAUACAUCAUCAAAAAAACCAUUUCAAGCUGCAAACUUCUACUACUACCACUUGAAGAACAAGAACAAGAACACAACUUUGGACGAGAAGCGAAUUGUUCCUACAGGUCCAAAUCCUCUACACAACAGGUAGAAAUUCAUUAAGCGGAAAUGUAAUAAUUAUAAUUAUAAACUCUUCCUUUUAAUUCUACAUAUAUGUAUAUUUGUUUUCUUUUUUCUUUAUUUGUUGUUUAGCUGAGUUCCAUCUCUGCGCUCGAGUUUAGUUAUGUAAAUGGUUUUAACUUCUGAAGCAUUUCAAUGUUGUACUGAUCAGGAUCUUGAUAGAAAAGAAAAGAAAAAAGAAAAAAAAGAAAAGAAAGAAAGAGUGAGAGACAAUAAUUUUGCUGCCUUUCCUCCCCCUUUAUUUCAAGGAUUCGAAUUUGUAACCUUGUAAUUAAGGCCUUUGUUCUUUUAUUUUCUAUUUUUCUUCAGGAAUUGAAAGUAGGAACUAUUUUUCAGUAUAUUCUUACAGAUAAAUAAAAUUGACCAGCCAUUAUGUUAUAUUUUAAAAAUAUAAAUAAAAUUUAUAAGAGAAAUUUUAAUGAACCCUAAAUUUUUACCUAAUCUAGUUCUGCCCCUGUCCAAAAGAUAUGAUAUAACAAAUAAUUUCAAACUAAA